rnacentral:lncRNA from 1 species
GAAGCAUUUUUCUUUUUAAAACAUGAUAGAAAGUAGCAACAUACACUAAAUAGACUAGACUUUGAAAUUGAUGAUUUGGGUUGUGGACAAGUUGAGUUUGAACACCUUUUGCAACAUUCAUGGACCUGUAUCAAGUGGGCAGUUUGAUUUGUAGUGUCCAGACACUGAUUUCUGACUCAUCUGCAUAAACAUGGUCAUUGUUCUGUAGAUGUGGAUACAAUCAACUCGGAAGAGCUCAGAGACCAGAGAAGAAAAAGCAAUCAACUCAAUCAACUCGGAAGAGCUCAGAGACCAGAGAAGAAAAAGCAAUCAACUCAAUCAACUCGGAAGAGCUCAGAGACCAGAGAAGAAAAAGAGGAGAAAGCUGAGCCCUAAGUUUGGAGGAAACGUCAACCUUUAAAUGGCUGCCUGCAACUGAAUAAACCCAAAGGAGACACACAGGAAGCAUCUUAGGGAAAAAGGAAAAAUCAGGCGGAAGUUGUGCCAGUAAAGUCAGGGGCAGAGGAAAGUGCUUUAGGAAGGAAAACUGUCAUUGGUGACACUUCGGUAUAAUAACCAAUGAGGAAGGCAGAUUGCUGUGUGCUGAGCAAUGGGUGGAUGUAUCAACAUAUGAUGCCAGCCCCUGUCAACAAGACAUUCAAGUUCCAUUGCAAUAGUGGACAUGGAUUUUUACUGACACUCCUCAGAAAGGUAGAAGGCAAGGUAAAUAGUAUUAUAUUAUUUAAGAGACAAAAACGGUUUAAGAAUAGGGAAAGUGUGAUAGAAAGAGAAUAGAUUCUGUGGGAGGUUUUUUUGUGCUUAAUAAGAUGACCAAAAUAUUGACAUGAAUUUUGAUUUAAAAAUCUAUUGUCUCCCUUGGAAGUCAUUAAAAAUGAAAAAAAUCAAUCAUUUGCAGGAUGUUGGAACAGUUGGAAGGUUUCUACUGCUAACUGACAUCUGUGAAGUUGUCAAGGGUAAAAAAAUUAAGUGGCUGAACAAAAUUGUAUUGUUAAUAUGGCUGAAUGUUCCAUUUCA